rnacentral:misc_RNA from 1 species
CCGAUUUUUAGCGGACCUGAUCUUUGAUCAUGGUCUCGUGAAAACUUGUAUUUAAAACCCCACUCUUAUAAAUUGAAUCAUUUUAUAUGUAUAUAAUAAAUAAAGA